rnacentral:sRNA from 1 species
AAAGUCAUGUAUUUCAUGCUUGCAUGAAGAUACAUGACCUUGCAACCCGCAAAACAUGAGAAUGUAGCCCGUCAGGGUGGAAUUCGAAUGUUUUUAGGAUUUCGGGAGCACGAAGUGCGGAGAAAUCCGU